rnacentral:rRNA from 1 species
GGGGAGGAAGGGAGUAAAGUUAAUACCUUUGCUCAUUGACGUUACCCGCAGAAGAAGCACCGGCUAACUCCGUGCCAGCAGCCGCGGUAAUACGGAGGGUGCAAGCGUUAAUCGGAAUUACUGGGCGUAAAGCGCACGCAGGCGGUUUGUUAAGUCAGAUGUGAAAUCCCCGGGCUCAACCUGGGAACUGCAUCUGAUACUGGCAAGCUUGAGUCUCGUAGAGGGGGGUAGAAUUCCAGGUGUAGCGGUGAAAUGCGUAGAGAUCUGGAGGAAUACCGGUGGCGAAGGCGGCCCCCUGGACGAAGACUGACGCUCAGGUGCGAAAGCGUGGGGAGCAAACAGG